AGGAAUAUUGGUCAAUGGACGAGAGUCUGAACCAGCCAAGUAGCGUGAAGGAUGAAGGUCCUACGGAUUGUAAACUUCUUUUAUAAGGGAAUAAAACCUCCCACGUGUGGGAGCUUGUAUGUACCUUAUGAAUAAGCAUCGGCUAACUCCGUGCCAGCAGCCGCGGUAAUACGGAGGAUGCGAGCGUUAUCCGGAUUUAUUGGGUUUAAAGGGAGCGCAGACGGGUCGUUAAGUCAGCUGUGAAAGUUUGGGGCUCAACCUUAAAAUUGCAGUUGAUACUGGCGUCCUUGAGUGCGGUUGAGGUGUGCGGAAUUCGUGGUGUAGCGGUGAAAUGCUUAGAUAUCACGAAGAACUCCGAUUGCGAAGGCAGCACACUAAGCCGUAACUGACGUUCAUGCUCGAAAGUGUGGGUAUCAAACAGGAUUAGAUACCCUGGUAGUCCACACGGUAAACGAUGGAUACUCGCUGUUGGCGAUAUACUGUCAGCGGCCAAGCGAAAGCAUUAAGUAUCCCACCUGGGGAGUACGCCGGCAACGGUGAAACUCAAAGGAAUUGACGGGGGCCCGCACAAGCGGAGGAACAUGUGGUUUAAUUCGAUGAUACGCGAGGAACCUUACCCGGGCUUAAAUUGCAGACGAAUUACGAGGAAACUUGUAAGCCGCAAGGCGUCUGUGAAGGUGCUGCAUGGUUGUCGUCAGCUCGUGCCGUGAGGUGUCGGCUUAAGUGCCAUAACGAGCGCAACCCUCGUGGCCAGUUACUAACAGGUUAAGCUGAGGACUCUGGCCAGACUGCCAUCGUAAGAUGUGAGGAAGGUGGGGAUGACGUCAAAUCAGCACGGCCCUUACGUCCGGGGCUACACACGUGUUACAAUGGGAGGUACAGAAGGCCGCUACCCGGCAACGGGAUGCCAAUCCCCAAAACCUCUCUCAGUUCGGACUGGAGUCUGCAACCCGACUCCACGAAGCUGGAUUCGCUAGUAAUCGCGCAUCAGCCACGGCGCGGUGAAUACGUUCCCG
rnacentral:rRNA from 1 species